UAUGUGAAUGUGAUGAAUUUGUGGGCUCUUGGUAGUGCAGUAGGAUAUAUAUACGAAUAUUUUAUGGUAGAAGAAAGGGCUUCUGUCUGUGUCCUGUUUUCAGGUUGAUAGUCCUGUAUUAAAAAAAAAUUGAAGAUUUGAAUUCCAGAAAGAAUCGUCCUGGAGGGUUGUGAGAAAUUGUAGAAGGUAUUGGUCUACAUCAAGAAGAGAGGUCUAGAUUAAGCCGCUCUUGGAAUUAUUGAGGACGGGUUGGUCGUUUAUUUGCGGAGGUGGGCAGAUGGUUCCCGGAGCAGACUUUUGGAUAGGUGUCGAUGAAAAUGGAUUAAGGGAAGCCGAAAAAUUUACGAGAUGGAAGGAAACCUGAGCGAGGGUGUUGGCGAAUGUGCAAGAGCCCAAAGCGAUCCGGUUCAGGGGAAACGGACGAGGAAUUAAGUGGUAGGGAUUGCAUGUUACGAGCAAAUGGGUGAGUAUGAAGAUAAUGUAGGGUUGAGUGUGGAUGAUAUACAUAAGAAAUGUUGGGACAACAUAGAUGGUGCUUAUGAGUUUUACAGGAAGUAUGGAAGAUUUCAUGGAUUUGGCAUACGGAAAGCCGAUUCAGGAAAGGACUGUGACAGAAAUGUGGUUAGAUAUAGGUUUUUCUACAAUAGGGAAGAAAG